rnacentral:rRNA from 1 species
AACGAACGCUGGCGGCAUGCCUAACACAUGCAAGUCGAACGAGACCUUCGGGUCUAGUGGCGCACGGGUGCGUAACGCGUGGGAACCUGCCCUUAGGUUCGGAAUAACUCCCCGAAAGGGGUGCUAAUACCGGCUAAUGUCUUCGGACCAAAGAGUUAUCGCCUUUGGAUGGGCCCGCGUUGGAUUAGCUAGUUGGUAGGGUAAAAGCCUACCAAGGCGACGAUCCAUAGCUGGUCUGAGAGGAUGAUCAGCCACACUGGGACUGAGACACGGCCCAGACUCCUACGGGAGGCAGCAGUGGGGAAUAUUGGACAAUGGGCGAAAGCCUGAUCCAGCAAUGCCGCGUGAGUGAUGAAGGCCUUAGGGUUGUAAAGCUAUUUUACCCGGGACGAUAAUGACAGUACCGGGAGAAUAAGCACCGGCUAACUCCGUG